GUGAGUCAUCGAAUCUUUGAACGCACAUUGCGCCCCUUGGUAUUCCGAGGGGCAUGCCCGUUCGAGCGUCAUUAUAACCCCUCAAGCCUAGCUUGGUGUUGGGGCCUGCUGUUACCGGCAGCCCUUAAAAUCAGUGGCGGUGCCAUCUGGCUCUAAGCGUAGUAAUACUUCUCGCUACAGGGUCCUGGUGGAUGCUUGCCAUCAACCCCUAAUUUUCUAUGGUUGACCUCGGAUCGGGUAGGGAUACCCGCUGAACUUAAGCAUAUCAAUAAGCGGAGGA
rnacentral:misc_RNA from 1 species